AGUGAACGCUGGCGGUAGGCCUAACACAUGCCAGUCGAACGGCAGCACAGUAAGAGCUUGCUCUUACGGGUGGCGAGUGGCGGACGGGUGAGGAAUACAUCGGAAUCUACUUUUUCGUGGGGGAUAACGUAGGGAAACUUACGCUAAUACCGCAUACGACCUAUGGGUGAAAGCAGGGGAUCUUCGGACCUUGCGCGAUUGAAUGAGCCGAUGUCGGAUUAGCUAGUUGGCGGGGUAAAGGCCCACCAAGGCGACGAUCCGUAGCUGGUCUGAGAGGAUGAUCAGCCACACUGGAACUGAGACACGGUCCAGACUCCUACGGGAGGCAGCAGUGGGGAAUAUUGGACAAUGGGCGCAAGCCUGAUCCAGCCAUACCGCGUGGGUGAAGAAGGCCUUCGGGUUGUAAAGCCCUUUUGUUGGGAAAGAAAAGCAGCAGGUUAAUACCCCGCUGUUCUGACGGUACCCAAAGAAUAAGCACCGGCUAACUUCGUG
rnacentral:rRNA from 1 species